rnacentral:misc_RNA from 1 species
GCUAAUUAAAAAUUCAAUUGAAAAUUCCUACCUAAAGAAAAAAAAAAUUAACAAAAUGAAAUAGUGUCAACAAAAGCAGCCAGCAACAGGAUUACAUCACACAAUCACACAACAACUACAAAAAACACUUAGCUCCUACUAUAGCCCACUAUUUUUGUGUAUUGCAAGGAGGACUAUUUGAAUAUAAGCAAGUACAGCAAUAAACAGUUUAAAUUAAGUGCAUUUACAAAUAUGGAGCGCGCUUUGUCGAUUUUGUUAUGCCUCAUGUUAACAACCCUGCAAUUCAUCUCCACACACGAGCAUGGUGACGGCUUUAAACCAGAUGGCGAAAUCCUACGUGUACUGGUCAACACUUCAGCGCAAAUUAAAUGUGAUGUCGGCUCCAGUUUGCCAGACGAUAAAGUUUUACUGGUCGUUUGGUAUAAGAAUAAUCUUCCAAUAUACAGUUAUGAUACCCGGGGUGCCCAUGCGGGGACGCCAUCACAUUGGCGGGAUGAAGAGGUGCUCGAGGAUCGCGCGGUAUUUCGCACACAUAAAGAGCCAGCCGAAUUGAUAAUAAAUCCAGUAAAGGAAAAAGAUGCAGGGAAUUUUCGUUGUAGAGUAGAUUUCAAGCUUUCGCAGACGAGGAAUAGCAAUGUCAAUUUGGAAGUUGUGGUGCCUCCACAGCAGCCAACAAUUUUCAACGAACGCCGCAUGAAACUUGAUUCACGCGCUGGUCCGUAUGAAGAAGGCGGCAGUCUGGAAGUGACAUGUCUCGUAUUUGGCGGCUCGCCACCGCCCACAGUGACUUGGCUCAUGAAUGGUCAAAUACAGAAUAGUGUGGUGGAUUACACAUAUGAUAGCACCAUCAACAGCAAAUUAGUCGUGCGAAACUUGUCACGCAUUCACCAGCAUGCGGUGUACACGUGUCAAGCGAGCAAUUUCCACAAGAAAUAUGUCGCCACCAACAUAACAAUUGAAUUGUAUUUAAGACCAUUACUAGUGGAGAUUUCUUUCAAUAAUCAACCAAUGUCUGCUGAUCGUAAAUACGAAAUUGAAUGCCAAGCAAUUGGCUCAAGACCACCCUCAAAAAUUACUUGGUGGAUGGGAAACAUGGAAUUGUUAGGGCAUAGUCAAAAGGUUUCUGAAGAUGGCAAUGUGAGCUUUUCGGUUCUCAGUAUUACACCAACACGAGCGGAUCAUGGCAAAGCGUUAUCCUGUCGAGCUACAAAUGAGUUAGUACGAAACGGCAUAAGGGAAACUGCAAUGAAACUCAAUGUUUUCUUUAUACCAACACUACAAUUGGAUUUGGGCUCAAACUUGAAUCCUGAGGAUAUCGAAGAAGGCGAUGAUGUUUAUUUCGAGUGCAAAGUGCAUGCAAAUCCGGCUGCCUACAAAGUUGUGUGGAAACAUAAUAAUCAAAUUAUUCAACACAAUCAACGUGCUGGCGUUAUUGUGAGUAGUGGCGAUUUGGCGCUGCAGGGCGUCACACGCCAUCAAGCUGGCAACUACACCUGCACCGCAUCGAACGUUGAGGGCGAUGGUGAUAGCAAUAUUGUUGAACUGAAAGUGAUGUACAAACCCAUUUGCCGACCGGAUCAGAAGAAAAUUUACGGUGUGGCGCGUAAUGAGGCCGCCGAGAUUUUAUGUGAGGUUGAUGCAUUUCCACCGCCGGAAAACUUCAAAUGGUCCUUCAAUAAUACGGCAGAGACAUUUGAUAUGCCGCAAAGUGGUUUCCGUGCACAUUCAGCGCAAGGAUCGACAUUGACCUACACACCGGUCAAGGAAAUGGAUUUCGGCACCAUAAUGUGUUGGGCAGAUAACAAUGUUGGCCAACAGCGAGAACCAUGCGUCUUUCAUUUAAUUGCUGCUGGCAAACCGGAAAUGCCGGCUAAUUGUACAAUAUUCAAUCAGACAUCAGAUUCAUUGGAGGUUUAUUGCAUGGAAGGUUUCGAUGGCGGCCUGCGUCAAUGGUUCCUAAUGGAAAUAUUCGAUCAACAUAGCGGUCAAUUGCAAGCGAAUAUAUCCUCCAAAUAUCCAGUUUUAAGUGUAACUGGCUUGGACUCCGCACGCCUAUUUCGUAUAUUCGUUUACGCAGUAAACGUGCGCGGCCGCAGUGAAGGUGUGCAAGUGGAAGGAUAUACAUUAAAGGCGGCAGAAAAGCAAACUGUGGCUUUGACCUCCUACAAAGGUACUCAAUCAAACUUCGAAAUCACACCAAUAUUAUCUGUGGGCAUUUUUGUUGGACUCGCUGUGGCAUUGGUUUUUAUUACUAUCGGUACAAUUGCUAUAUUAAAACUGCGUUCACACAAACAACAACAAAAAUAUCAACAUCAAAAUGCAAAAUUCUCACGACCAGGCAAUUUACAAAUUAAAGAUAAAAUCUCCUUGCCAUUAAGCCAUUCGGAGGAAAUGUAUGACGAGAAGAAUCCAGAUGUGGUGCCAUACAAUGAAGUUGAUGGCGAAUACAAACAGAAAUCAGUUACACAAACACCAUCCGGCCAUCUGUCCACAACAAGCGAAGCGGAAAUUAGCUGUAAACCACUAACGGACGAGCUUGGCGCAUACAAAAGUAACAAGGAUGACGAACUUCAUUACGCCGAACUCACGCUUGCACCCGGCAGCGCCAGUUCAAGUGGCAUACCGAAAAAGUCUAUAUCGGUGGAUUGCAGCAGCAGCAUGUUGCUACAAGGCGCCGGCAUAAAUACGAACAACAUGUCCGCCACUGUCGGCGGCACAUUACCCCAUGGCUCUAGUGUACGUAAAAUGUUGCCCAAUAUACCAGCUAAUGCCGGUGCGAGUACACUGCAGCGCCUCAAGCAGCAGUCGAAAACAACAGCGCAACAGCAACAGCAACAACAACCACCACCACCAUCCUAUGAUUACUUUGAAGAGCCCACGAUAUAUGCACAAAUCGAUCAUUACAAAACAACAGCGACCGGUACACCUGCUGGAGCGCUAUCAGCAACAACAAAUGGCAUAAAUGCUGGCUGCUCCUCAUCGGCAUCCGUAUCGCCAUUCCCGCCAUGCAUCUCAUCGCCCACCUCACAGGGCACACCGUCGACGGUGUCACCGGGCGCGGUGCAGAUGUACACAAUGCCAUCACAUCCAGGCGGUUAUCAUACGUUGCCGCACAAUCAUCAUCAUCAGCAACAGCAGCAACAACAACAUCUGCAACAGCAACAGCAACAACAACUACAGCAACUCCAACAACAAGCACUGCAACAACACAAUUCGUCCGCCUCGUCCAUGUUACAAAUAAUGGCGGCCGCAGGAGUUGUGCACGGCACCGGUGGCAACAUUUAUCACCAUCAUGGCACGCUGCCAAUGCCACCCACAUAUCAGCAGCAUCAACAGCAACAGCAGCAGCAACAACAACAACAGCAGUUGCAGCAACAACAGGUGACAGGCCAAAUGCUGGUUUCGAGUAAUAGCAGCGGCCUCGGCUCCACUACAGUAACAGCGGCUGUGACGAGUCCGAGUAGUUCGCUGUCGGGUCUCUCUGCCAUCGGCAAAUCGUACUCGCGUGAAAUCGUUACAGUGCGAACGCCGUUGAUGUAUUCUCAACAGGAGAGCUGCGUUUAAGAAGUGUGUGAGCAGAGCAUAUAGUAAAACAUGUAUUGUACUUUCAUAAUCGGAAUUUAAUUACUGCUUAAGAGACUGGGAAAUCUAAAUUAAUACAAGUUAAAAUUCUUCAACACUCAAGAAAUUAAAGAAAAACCAUAAAAACUAAUGUAGAUUAAAAAGAGAAAUAUGUAAAACAACUGAGACCUAAUGAAAACUAAGCAGAUAAUAUAGCUAUAAGUAAACUAAUUUUAAUUGAAAUUUCAAAAAAGUUCACUCUUUGUAAUUUAUGUACUAUUUACUUGUCACUCAAGUUGCAGCUAACGAAUAAACAUGCAUGAGAAUGGGCUGUUACAUAACUGUUUAUAUGUAAUGAUGAAAUGAAUUUUAUGAAUUCAAAGAGCUCACAACGGCAAAACGUAAUCAAAUACUAAGAAAAAUAUCUUACGUUACUUUAAGCACUAUCCAGAGAAAAAAAAUUGUUAAGUGAUAAAUCUACAUAUAUAUAUACAUAGAUAUAUAAACCACAGAAAUAAUGGUACAUAAAUAAGGAGUGAAUAAGUUGAGAAGAACAAAAACUAAAUAACAAAAACAGGAGGCAAAUUUG